CAUGUACCGGUGGGGUCCCUCAGCCUGGCCUGCGCCCUCUCGCAAUCUGGGACCCCUCGGGGGAUGUCUGGUUUUGGCCCGAUCCCGCAGGCCAGGUUGAGGGACCCCACUGGUGCAUG
rnacentral:pre_miRNA from 1 species